rnacentral:rRNA from 1 species
CAAUAGCGUAUAUUAAAGUUGUUGCGGUUAAAAAGCUCGUAGUUGGAUUUCUGCUGAGAACGACCGGUCCGCCCUCUGGGUGUGUAUCUGGCUCUUUCUUGGCAUCUUCUUGGUGAACGUUGCUGCACUUGACUGUGUGGAGCGCUACCCAGGACUUUUACUUUGAGGAAAUUAGAGUGUUUCAAGCAGGCAUACGCCUUGAAUACAUUAGCAUGGAAUAAUAAGAUAGGACCUCGGUUCUAUUUUGUUGGUUUCUAGAGCUGAGGUAAUGAUUAAUAGGGAUAGUUGGGGGCAUUCGUAUCUAACUGUCAGAGGUGAAAUUCUUGGAUUUACGGAAGACGAACUACUGCGAAAGCAUUUACCAAGGAUGUUUUCAUUA